GCAGCGUUCAUGCUGACAUUUAAAAGCACAUUAAGCAAUUUCGAACAUUGGUUUUUCGAAGAGUGUUCACGGUGCCGCAUUUAGUUAAUGUUCUGUCUGUUCUUGUACAAAAACGUGCAAGUUGUCAUUUGGGAGUACAUCCACUUGGAACUUCCUACUAACGAAAGAACCUGUGCGAGAAUCGAGCUAGCACGUUUUGGGAAGUCGAGUGUCAAUGCUGCGGAAAUGAUUUCUUCAAGCAAAACUUUAGAUUGAAAAGACGGGCUUUCCAGAAAUUGUGUAGCUUUCUGGAUCACAUUAAAAAG